GACGAACGCUGGCGGCGUGCUUAACACAUGCAAGUCGAACGGAAAGGCCCUGCUUUUGUGGGGUGCUCGAGUGGCGAACGGGUGAGUAACACGUGAGUAACCUGCCCUUGACUUUGGGAUAACUUCAGGAAACUGGGGCUAAUACCGGAUAGGAGCUCCUGCUGCAUGGUGGGGGUUGGAAAGUUUCGGCGGUUGGGGAUGGACUCGCGGCUUAUCAGCUUGUUGGUGGGGUAGUUGCUUACCAAGGCUUUGACGGGUAGCCGGCCUGAGAGGGUGACCGGCAACAUUGGGACUGAGAUACGGCACAGACUCCUACGGGAGGGAGCAGUGGGGAAUAUUGCACAAUGGGCUGAAGCCUGAUGCAGCAACGCCGCGUGCGGGAUGACGGCCUUCGGGUUGUAAACCGCUUUCGCCUGUGACGAUGCGUGAGUGACGGUAAUGGGUAAAGAAGCACCGGCUAACUACGUG
rnacentral:rRNA from 1 species